rnacentral:rRNA from 1 species
GACGAACGCUUGCGGCGUGCUUAACACAUGCAAGUCGAACGGAAAGGCCCUGCUUUUGUGGGGUGCUCGAGUGGCGAACGGGUGAGUAACACGUGAGUAACCUGCCCUUGACUUUGGAAUAACUUCAGGAAACUGGGGCUAAUACCGGAUAGGAGCUCCUGCUGCAUGGUGGGGGUUGGAAAGUUUCGGCGGUUGGGGAUGGACUCGCGGCUUAUCAGCUUGUUGGUGGGGUAGUGGCUUACCAAGGCUUUGACGGGUAGCCGGCCUGAGAGGGUGACCGGCCACAUUGGGACUGAGAUACGGCCCAGACUCCUACGGGAGGCAGCAGUGGGGAAUAUUGCACAAUGGGCGGAAGCCUGAUGCAGCAACGCCGCGUGCGGGAUGACGGCCUUCGGGUUGUAAACCGCUUUCGCCUGUGACGAAGCGUGAGUGACGGUAAUGGGUAAAGAAGCACCGGCUAACUACGUGCCAGCAGCCGCGGUGAUACGUAGGGUGCGAGCGUUGUCCGGAUUUAUUGGGCGUAAAGGGCUCGUAGGUGGUUGAUCGCGUCGGAAGUGUAAUCUUGGGGCUUAACCCUGAGCGUGCUUUCGAUACGGGUUGACUUGAGGAAGGUAGGGGAGAAUGGAAUUCCUGGUGGAGCGGUGGAAUGCGCAGAUAUCAGGAGGAACACCAGUGGCGAAGGCGGUUCUCUGGGCCUUUCCUGACGCUGAGGAGCGAAAGCGUGGGGAGCGAACAGGCUUAGAUACCCUGGUAGUCCACGCUGUAAACGGUGGGUACUAGGUGUGGGGUCCAUUCCACGGGUUCCGUGCCGUAGCUAACGCUUUAAGUACCCCGCCUGGGGAGUGUGGCCGCAAGGCUAAAAUUCAAAGGAAUUGACGGGGCCCCGCACAAGCGGCGGAGCAUGCGGAUUAAUUCGAUGCAACGCGUAGAACCUUACCUGGGUUUGACAUGGAUCGGGAGUGCUCAGAGAUGGGUGUGCCUCUUUUGGGGUCGGUUCACAGGUGGUGCAUGGCUGUCGUCAGCUCGUGUCGUGAGAUGUUGGGUUAAGUCCCGCAACGAGCGCAACCCUUGUUCACUGUUGCCAGCACGUUAUGGUGGGGACUCAGUGGAGACCGCCGGGGUCAACUCGGAGGAAGGUGGGGAUGACGUCAAGUCAUCAUGCCCCCUAUGUCCAGGGCUUCACGCAUGCUACAAUGGCUGGUACAGAGAGUGGCGAGCCUGUGAGGGUGAGCGAAUCUCGGAAAGCCGGUCUCAGUUCGGAUUGGGGUCUGCAACUCGACCUCAUGAAGUCGGAGUCGCUAGUAAUCGCAGAUCAGCAACGCUGCGGUGAAUACGUUCCCGGG